rnacentral:rRNA from 1 species
UGUAGCACGUGUGUAGCCCAGGACGUAAGGGCCGUGAUGAUUUGACGUCAUCCCCACCUUCCUCACGGUUUGCACCGGCAGUCUUGUUAGAGUUCCCGACAUGACUCGCUGGCAACUAACAACAGGGGUUGCGCUCGUUAUAGGACUUAACCUGACACCUCACGGCACGAGCUGACGACAACCAUGCAGCACCUUGUAAGUGGUCCGAAGAAAUAGCUAUCUCUAACUAAUGCAACUUACAUUUAAGCCCUGGUAAGGUUCCUCGCGUAUCAUCGAAUUAAACCACAUGCUCCACCGCUUGUGCGGGCCCCCGUCAAUUCCUUUGAGUUUCAUUCUUGCGAACGUACUCCCCAGGUGGGUUACUUAUCACUUUCGCUUAGCCACUCAGACACAAGGUCCAAACAGCUAGUAACCAUCGUUUACGGCGUGGACUACCAGGGUAUCUAAUCCUGUUCGCUACCCACGCUUUCGUCCAUCAGUGUCAGUUGAUUAUUAGUAAUCUGCCUUCGCAAUUGGUAUUCUAUGUAAUAUCUAUGCAUUUCACCGCUACACUACAUAUUCUAACUACUUCAUAAUAACUCAAGAUAACCAGUAUCAAAGGCAAUUUUACAGUUGAGCUGCAUGAUUUCACCUCUGACUUAAUUAUCCACCUACGGACCCUUUAAACCCAAUGAUUCCGGAUAACGCUUGGAUCCUCCGUAUUACCGCGGCUGCUGGCACGGAGUUAGCCGAUCCUUAUUCUUAUAGUACCGUCAGCUACUUACACGUAAGUAGGUUUCUUCCUAUAUAAAAGCAGUUUACAACCCAUAGGGCAGUCUUCCUGCACGCGGCAU